UUUGACCGGGCUUCGAUCGACCGCUCUUUGGCGACCGCGGAUCUGGUUAUCGAGCUGGUGGUCGACGGAACCGUGACGACGCUGGUUGGCGACGGCACAACGGUGGAAAACGUGGAGAACGUCGGACUGUCCGGUGGAAGCGGCAAUGACAGCUUCACCGGCGGUGCUGGCGACGACUACCUGGGCGGCGGUAACGGCUCGGAUACGCUGAAUGGCGGAGGUGGGGACGACGUCCUUGGGGGCGGUGACGGCUCGGAUACGCUGCACGGCGGACGCGGGGACGACUACAUUCUGGGCGGCGACGGCGACGAUCACCUCACCCUC
rnacentral:misc_RNA from 1 species